rnacentral:tRNA from 1 species
GGGUCCGUAGCCUUGAGGUUAUGCUUUCGCUUCAUAAGUGGAUGGUCAUGGGUUCGAUUCCCAGCCCAUCCA